rnacentral:misc_RNA from 1 species
CGCACAUUGCACUCCUUGGUAUUCCGGGGAGUAUGCCUGUUCGAGCGUCAUUACACCUUUCAAGCUUUGCUUGGUAUUGGAGUCAUCCACACAAGAGAUGUAUCUAAAAAUUAUUGGCAGUUUGUUCAACUUCAAGCGUGGUGAAAUUUUACGCUCUGAAAGUUAGUGCGACUGGCCAGAAACAGAGUCAAAAACUCUAUUUUCAAUAAUUUGACCUCGGAUCAGGUAGGGAUACCCGCUGAACUUAA